AGAGUUUGACCCUGGCUCAGGAUGAACGCUGGCGGCGUGCUUAACACAUGCAAGUCGAACGAAGCACCUUAUUCUGAUUUCUUCGGAAUGAAAAAUUUGGUGACUGAGUGGCGGACGGGUGAGUAACGCGUGGGUAACCUGCCUCAUACAGGGGGAUAACAGUUAGAAAUGACUGCUAAUACCGCAUAAGACCACAGCACCGCAUGGUGCAGGGGUAAAAACUCCGGUGGUAUGAGAUGGACCCGCGUCUGAUUAGGUAGUUGGUGGGGUAACGGCCUACCAAGCCGACGAUCAGUAGCCGACCUGAGAGGGUGACCGGCCACAUUGGGACUGAGACACGGCCCAAACUCCUACGGGAGGCAGCAGUGGGGAAUAUUGCACAAUGGGGGAAACCCUGAUGCAGCGACGCCGCGUGAGCGAUGAAGUAUUUCGGUAUGUAAAGCUCUAUCAGCAGGGAAGAAAAUGACGGUACCUGACUAAGAAGCACCGGCUAAAUACGUGCCAGCAGCCGCGGUAAUACGUAUGGUGCAAGCGUUAUCCGGAUUUACUGGGUGUAAAGGGAGCGUAGACGGAGUGGCAAGUCUGAUGUGAAAACCCGGGGCUCAACCCCGGGACUGCAUUGGAAACUGUCAAUCUAGAGUACCGGAGAGGUAAGCGGAAUUCCUAGUGUAGCGGUGAAAUGCGUAGAUAUUAGGAGGAACACCAGUGGCGAAGGCGGCUUACUGGACGGUAACUGACGUUGAGGCUCGAAAGCGUGGGGAGCAAACAGGAUUAGAUACCCUGGUAGUCCACGCCGUAAACGAUGACUACUAGGUGUCGGGCAGCAAAGCUGUUCGGUGCCGCAGCAAACGCAAUAAGUAGUCCACCUGGGGAGUACGUUCGCAAGAAUGAAACUCAAAGGAAUUGACGGGGACCCGCACAAGCGGAGGAACAUGUGGUUUAAUUCGAUGAUACGCGAGGAACCUUACCCGGGCUUGAAUUGCAGGUGCAUGAGUCAGAGACGGCUCUUUCCUUCGGGACUCCUGUGAAGGUGCUGCAUGGUUGUCGUCAGCUCGUGCCGUGAGGUGUCGGCUUAAGUGCCAUAACGAGCGCAACCCUUCUCCCCAGUUGCCAUCGGGUAAUGCCGGGCCCUCUGGGGACACUGCCAUCGUAAGAUGCGAGGAAGGUGGGGAUGACGUCAAAUCAGCACGGCCCUUACGUCCGGGGCCACACACGUGUUACAAUGGGGGGUACAGAGGGCCGCUGUCCGGUGACGGUCGGCCAAUCCCUAAAACCCCUCUCAGUUCGGACUGGAGUCUGCAACCCGACUCCACGAAGCUGGAUUCGCUAGUAAUCGCGCAUCAGCCAUGGCGCGGUGAAUACGUUCCCGGGCCUUGUACACACCGCCCGUCAAGCCAUGAAAGCCGGGGGUGCCUGAAGUCCGUGACCGCGAGGGUCGGCCUAGGGUAAAACUGGUGAUUGGGGCUAAGUCGUAACAAGGUA
rnacentral:rRNA from 1 species